AGCUUUGCGCAGUGGCAGUAUCGUAGCCUAUGAGGUUUAUCCGAGGCGCGAUUAUUGCUAGUUGAAAACUUUACCCAAUACCCCGCCUUGACGACUUGAAAUAUAGUCGGCAACGGCAAUUUUUGAUGGUCUCUAAGGAGA
rnacentral:snRNA from 1 species